AGCUCUAAUAGCGUAUAUUAAAGUUGUUGCAGUUAAAAAGCUCGUAGUUGGAUUUUGGGGUCGGGCACGCUGUCGGGCUCUGCUCGGAUUGGCAUGACCGGCCCUUUCCUUCUGGGGACUGCAUUCCUCUUCAUUGAGGGGUGUUAGGACGCAGAUCGUUUACUUUGAAAAAAUUAGAGUGUUCAAAGCAGGCAAUCGCUUGAAUACAUUAGCAUGGAAUAAUGGAAUAGGACUCCGGUUCUAUUUUGUUGGUUUCUAGGACCGAAGUAAUGAUUAAUAGGGAUAGUUGGGGGCGUUUGUAUUCCGUUGUCAGAGGUGAAAUUCUUGGAUUUACGGAAGACAAACUUCUGCGAAAGCAUUCGCCAAGGAUGUUUUCAUUAAUCAAGAACGAAAGUACGCA
rnacentral:rRNA from 1 species